GUGCUCGCUUCAGCAGCACACAUGCCAAAAUCAGAAUGACAGAGAAGAUUAGCGUGGCCCUGAGCAAGGAUGACUCACGAAUUUGUGAACCAUUCUAUAAAACA
ensembl:snRNA U6 U6 spliceosomal RNA